CGGAUGACUUGUGGCUAGGGGUGAAAGGCCAAUCAAACUCGGAGAUAGCUGGUUCUCCCCGAAAGCUAUUUAGGUAGCGCCUCGGACGAAUACUACUGGGGGUAGAGCACUGUUAAGGCUAGGGGGUCAUCCCGACUUACCAACCCUUUGCAAACUCCGAAUACCAGUAAGUACUAUCCGGGAGACACACGGCGGGUGCUAACGUCCGUCGUGGAGAGGGAAACAACCCAGACCGCCAGCUAAGGUCCCAAAGUAUUGCUAAGUGGGAAACGAUGUGGGAAGGCUCAGACAGCUAGGAUGUUGGCUUAGAAGCAGCCAUCAUUUAAAGAAAGCGUAAUAGCUCACUAGUCGAGUCGGCCUGCGCGGAAGAUGUAACGGGGCUAAGCA
rnacentral:rRNA from 1 species